rnacentral:rRNA from 1 species
GGCGGACGGGUGAGUAACGCGUAAGAACUUGCCCUUUAGACUGGGAUAACAGAGGGAAACUUCUGAUAAUACUGGAUAAGUUAGUAUAUCGCAUGAUAUGCAAAUGAAAGCUACGGCACUAAAGGAGAGCUUUGCGUCCUAUUAGCUAGUUGGUAAGGUAAGAGCUUACCAAGGCGAUGAUAGGUAGCCGGCCUGAGAGGGUGGACGGCCACAAGGGGACUGAGAUACGGCCCUUACUCCUACGGGAGGCAGCAGCG